rnacentral:lncRNA from 1 species
UUGCACCUGCUGCUGCCACUCCUGCUGGGGGCUGUGCUCCCUGUGCCACUUUCCCAAAGGCUCAGCAGCUCAGUCCCUGAGGAUUUCUCUGCUCCCCUGGAGCUCCCACAGCAGCACUUCGGCCUUGUGGAUGAUUAUGGCAUUAAGCCGAAGCACCCCCAGUUCCAGACUCGAGCACCCUGGAAGCAGCCUGCAGGCCUGCACCAAGCACACAAGAGCAAGCGGGAUGAGUCAGAUUUGGCAGAGUAUUAUUAUGACAAUGCCCUGUGAGCUGCCCAGGCACUUGUUGCAGUGGGAUCUCCACGAGCCCCAUGGGCAGCUCUGACCCUGUGCACUAGCUGCUUUAUAAAGGUGUGCUGUAUAGCAAGGCAGACUGAGGGUCUGCUCAGCGAUGUCUGUUGGGGUCGGGGUGAGGAAGGUGAAGGCAGAG